UACAGAGGGUGCAAGCGUUAAUCGGAGUUACUGGGCGUAAAGGGCGCGUAGGCGGUCAUGCAAGUGAGAUGUGAAAUCCCCGGGCUUAACCUGGGAACUGCAUUUGUGACUGCACGGCUAGAGUGUGUCAGAGGGGGGUAGAAUUCCACGUGUAGCAGUGAAAUGCGUAGAUAUGUGGAGGAAUACCGAUGGCGAAGGCAGCCCCCUGGGAUAACACUGACGCUCAUGCACGAAAGCGUGGGGAGCAAACAGG
rnacentral:rRNA from 1 species